rnacentral:rRNA from 1 species
GACGAACGCUGGCGGCGUGCUUAACACAUGCAAGUCGAGCGAUGAAGCACCUUCGGGUGUGGAUUAGCGGCGAACGGGUGAGGAACACGUGAGGAAUCUGCCUUCCACUCUGGGAUAACUCCGGGAAACCGGGGCUAAUACCGGAUACUUUCAACUGGCGGCAUCGCCGGUUGAAGAAAGUUUUUCGGUGGAAGAUGACCUCGCGGCCUAUCAGCUUGUUGGUGAGGUAAUGGCUCACCAGGGCGACGACGGGUAGCCGGCCCGAGAGGGCGACCGGCCACACUGGGACUGAGACAAGGCCCAGACUCCUACGGGAGGCAGCAGUGGGGAAUAUUGGGCAAUGGAGGAAACUCUGACCCAGCGACGCCGCGUGAGGGAUGAAGGCCUUCGGGUUGUAAACCUCUUUCGGCAGGGAAUAAGCGAAAGUGAAGGUACCUGCAGAAGAAGCACCGGCUAACUAUGUGCCAGCAGCCGCAGUAA